UACGUAGGGUGCAAGCGUUGUUCGGAAUUACUGGGCGUAAAGGGCUCGUAGGUGGCCAACUAAGUCGGACGUGAAAUCCCUCAGCUUAACUGGGGAACUGCGUCCGAUACUGGAUGGCUUGAGUUUGGGAGAGGGAUGCGGAAUUCCAGGUGUAGCGGUGAAAUGCGUAGAGAUCGGGAGGAACACCAGUGGCGAAGGCGGCUACCUGGACCAGCACUGACACUGAGGCACGAAAGCGUGGGGAGCAAACAGG
rnacentral:rRNA from 1 species